UAUCUCUGUAGAGUCUGCAUAUCAAUAAGCGGAGGAAAAGAAACUAACAAGGAUUACCUUAGUAACGGCGAGUGAAGCGGGAAGAGCUCAAAUUUGAAAUCUUCAAGGUUUUACCUCGACGAAUUGUAGUUUAAAGAAGUGUUUUCUGUUAGAUGAGUAGCAAAAGUUCCUUGGAAUGGGACAUCAUAGAGGGUGAGAAUCCCGUAUUUGGUUAUUCAUUCUAGCUUUGUGAUACACUUUCAAAGAGUCGGAUUGUUUGGGAAUGCAGUCCAAAAUGGGUGGUAAAUUUCAUCUAAAGCUAAAUAUUGGCGAGAGACCGAUAGCGAACAAGUACCGUGAGGGAAAGAUGAAAAGAACUUUGAAAAGAGAGUUAAACAGUACGUGAAAUUGUCAAAAGGGAAGCGUUUGACACCAGUGUUGUUUUUCCGAAAAUCAAUUACGAAUGGCUUGAUUUUGUGUUGUAUUGACCUUAUCAGCUUUCUUCACUUUUUUCGAGUCUUUCUUAAUGCACUUUUCGGUUAACAAGUCAACAUCAAUUUCUUUUGUUGUAAAAGAGUAUUCGGAAGGUGGCUUUCUUUUCGGAGAAAGUGUUUAUAGCCCUAUACUUCUACAAUCGGAGAGAUUGAGGUCUGCAGCGUAGAUCCUUCGGGGUUAGAUACACUUGUGCUAAGUUGUAGCUUUUCAUAGACAACUUGUUGACUAUGUUUAGUCAUGCGGCUUACUCGCUUGUGCUACUUUACCUACGCUUAGGAUGUUGACUGAUAUGUAGUCGUA
rnacentral:rRNA from 1 species